rnacentral:rRNA from 1 species
GACGAACGCUGGCGGCAAGCUUAACACAUGCAAGUCGAACGCCGUAGCAAUACGGAGUGGCAGACGGGUGAGUAACGCGUGGGAACGUGCCUUUCGGUUCGGAACAACUGAGGGAAACUUCAGCUAAAACCGGAUACGCCCUUCGGGGGAAAGUUUACGCCGAAAGAUCGGCCCGCGUUAGAUCAGCUAGUUGGUGGGGUAAUGGCCUACCAAGGCGACGAUCUAUAGCUGUUCUGAGAGGAAGAUCAGCCACACUGGGACUGAGACACGGCCCAGACUCCUACGGGAGGCAGCAGUGGGGAAUAUUGGACAAUGGGCGCGAGCCUGAUCCAGCUAUGCCGCGUGGAUGAAGAAGGCCUUAGGGUUGUAAAGUCCUUUCGUUGGUGAAGAUAAUGACGGUAACCAAAGAAGAAGCCCCGGCUAAUUUCGUGCCAGCCGCCGCUGUAAUAC